AUAAAAAACUAGAUGUUAGACAUAUAAGGUAGUGAAAACUUGUGAAAAUUUGCAAUCAUGAACAGUCAUGUCAUGUUAGACAUAAAAAACUAGAUGUUAGACAUAUAAGGUAGUGAAAACUUGAGAAAAAUGUGCCUAC